UCCUAGCCCAGAUUAGAGUGAAAAUCCUUUUUAUUUUUUCUUUAAAAAUAAAAAGAUUGUAACGGAAAGCUGGAAAUAGC
rnacentral:sRNA from 1 species